GGGGAGGUGGUUGUCAGGGUGACCACCACAGGAGCCUCAAGACCUGAUACAGGAACCCACCUUUCUACAUGUUUCUUGUAUUUUCAGCAUCCAGUGUACCUGCCAACAUCUGCCCAGCACUCCCAUCUGGUGGCAAGGCACUGCCAGCACAAAAAAGCAUUGUGAUGAUAGAGUGACAUGAACACAAUGCCACCAGAAAAAUGUCUGGUACUUCCAGAGCCAGCUUCAAGCGGACACUCAAGGAACUGCAGUUUAUAACACCUCUGCAUUGGCUUCAAUUCUCGCGUCCGGAGGUUGCCGCUUGGCAUGAACGAAUGAAUGUUUGUUUUUUUAACCCAGCCUUUCGAUAAUGUAGUAUACUGACAUGAAGUCCUGUUUACAGAAGAAUACAAGUUGUGCAGAAGUUCAAGUCACAAUAAAAGUUUAAAAUAUGUCAACAG